rnacentral:rRNA from 1 species
GUUUUGAUUAUGGCUCAGAUUGAACGCUGGCGGAAUGCUUUACACAUGCAAGUCGAACGGCAGCAUAGAGAGCUUGCUCUCUGAUGGCGAGUGGCGAACGGGUGAGUAAUAUAUCGGAACGUGCCUAGUAAUGGGGAAUAACUAGCUGAAAGGUUAGCUAAUGCCGCAUACGACCUACGGGUGAAAGCAGGGGAUCUUCGGACCUUGCGUUAUUAGAGCGGCCGAUAUCUGAUUAGCUUGUUGGUGGGGUAAUGGCCUACCAAGGCGACGAUCAGUAGCUGGUCUGAGAGGACGAUCAGCCACACUGGAACUGAGACACGGUCCAGACUCCUACGGGAGGCAGCAGUGGGGAAUUUUGGACAAUGGGGGCAACCCUGAUCCAGCCAUUCCGCGUGAGUGAAGAAGGCCUUCGGGUUGUAAAGCUCUUUCGCAAGAGAAGAAAACUUGCUAUCUAAUAAAUAGUAAUUAUGACGGUAUCUGAC